rnacentral:rRNA from 1 species
UUUUACUGUUUGUGGCGGAAGGGUUAGUAAUGCAUAGAUAAUUUGUCUUUAACUUGGGAAUAACGGUUGGAAACGGCCGCUAAUACCGAAUGUGGCACCAUUUAGGCAUCUAGGUGGUGUUAAAGAAGGGGAUCUUCGGACCUUUCGGUUAAAGGGGAGUCUAUGUGAUAUCAGCUAGUUGGUGGGGUAAAGGCCUACCAAGGCUAUGACGUCUAGGCGGAUUGAGAGAUUGACCGCCAACACUGGGACUG